AGAAGCGCUGUAUUCCUUACUUUUCCGGGUACUCGAUUCCGAUUGGGGUAAGUACAUGCGGGUACUCGAUUCCAUUUUUCCUACCCGUCCCAGCCCUAAUUGUGAGAGAGUCCACGUGACAAGAACACGAGCUGUACCGACACUGAGCAAUGGGAGGGAAAUCCAUCAUGAAGUGAAGUACUCCUGGGGUGACGAAAAACACAGAACAAGGGAUGCCCAGGCACCUCAUGGAGAUCCCAGUUGCCGUGAUGAGCAAUCCACAUGUGGAAGGACUUGUUUCAUUACAUUCACUUUCUUCUUAUUUGUUACCAUUGUUUCCACAAAUUGAUGAUGUGACAGGGAGAUGUUCACACAUUGUGUAGCGCAACCAUAAUAUGUUCACUUUGUCAGCCAAAUAUUGAAUUACCCCCUUGUGUGGGUAGUGCAUCAUGUCCAGCCUCAUUGUUGACUUGUUCCACGGUGUACAUAGCUUACAACAUAGGGAUAUAGCAGUCUCAUUCACACUUGGAUUAGGACAAUCGUGAAAGUAGAUAGUAUUGAGUAGAUUUUGAACGACAUACAAAUAGUACAAUAUAGUUUAGUAUUUUACUCUUGUAUGAAAGAAAUUAGUCACAUAUUCACAAACCUGUGUACUUAAACUUGUAUGUGUCGUUGGGACAGUGAUAUUAUUAUUGAAGUAUGUUUAGGCUAGAGUUUAGGCAUCAGAUUCAUUGUGAUAUCAGUGAUCAUGAGUAUCCUGUGCUCUUUGAAAUGGAAGUACUUUCUGAAUGUCUUCUCCACUAUAGCCCUGAUAAGACCUUGACAAUUACUUGUGUACUGUGGCUUGUUGAUCACAGAUUGCAGUAAAAUUAAUUGGCCUACGCGAAGGUAGGGUGCCUCUAUGCUGAGCUGUGUGUACAAAAUCUGAACUAUUCUGAAGUGAGGAGACAAACAGGGCGUUAUGGAGACAGCUUCCUUCAUCAUCUUGAACUUCACAUAGUUAAUCUCUUUGAGUAGUCUCCCUUUGGCUUGAUGUCGAUAUUUGUAACCACGUCAGACGUCCAGGCUCCAAAAUGACUUUUCUCAGAAACAACUUUCCCUUUUUGUCAUAAAGACUGUUUGUCAGUUAACCUUUAAUACCAAUCAUGGAGCAUAUGUAUAUUAAGUUGAUGAUUGUUUGUGCGUUAGUUUUUCCAGCAGUUUAGAACAUGGUAGUUUGUCUGUGUUGUACACACAGUGGUGCUGGACCUAGAUCAGCAUCAGCCAGGUGGCAGGCUUGCAUAGGUGGCUUGUAAAUUGAGAGUUCCGCUUGCAUAGUGACAAACUGCCAUUUUUAACUUAAAAAGAGUUGUUAAUGUGACAUUGUACAGAGCAUGUACAAAUAAUGUUCUUAGAACUAAUACUUUGAUGUGAGCAUAUAUAUAUAUAUAUAGACACUACUAGACCGAUACUGUGAUUUGAGCACAUAUAGAAACUACUAGAACUAAUACUGUGAUUUGAGCAUAUAUAGACAUUACUAGACAGACACUGUGAUUUGAGCAUAUAUAGACAUUACUAGACAGAUACUGUGAUUUGAGCAUAUAUAGACAUUUCAUGUACCUAGACCACAUUAGAGCUAUAGAAUUAACACAGUGCCACAAAUCAGGAUUCUUCGUCUUAUCAAAGUAAUGGGUUGAAUGUUUAAUGUUGACUUGGACUUCUCAAUACCAAAGUUAAAACCCUACUUGGGUUGUCAAAAUGCGACCUCCAAAUGUCUUCUUGUUGGGUUUUUACUGUGAACAAUUAAUGUUAUCAACUGGAGAGCACACCUCAAAAUGUUCUAGCAUUUACCACUAGCUGGCAUUCCCUGUGCAGGGCCGGUUUGUCUAUCUGAUAUCAGCUGCAAGACACAGAUUUGUCCAUCUGGUAUUAACCGUCAGAUACAGGUCUGUCCAUCUGGUAUUACCCGCCAGACACAGGUCUGUCCAUCUGGUAGAUACAGGUCUGUAUUAACCACCAGAUACAGGUCUGUCCAUCUGGUAGAUACAGGUCUGUCCAUCUGGUAUUACCCGCCAGACACAGGUCUGUCCAUCUGGUAGAUACAGGUCUGUAUUAACCACCAGAUACAGGUCUGUCCAUCUGGUAUUACCCGCCAGACACAGGUCUGUCCAUCUAGGAGUAAUUGCCAGACAAAGGUUUGGCAUGCCCUGUUAACUCUGUAGCUCUGAUGAUCUUUACAGAUUAUGCAAUUGAUGUGCUAGAAAUUAAACACUGUCUGCCUGACAGCAGUUGACAUAUUGUUGAUUCCAGUUGACAUGCUGUUGGUUGAAUUUGACAUGCAACAGAUAUGGAUUGGACGUACUCAUGGCUGCAUUUGAAGUGCUGUUCGUUGUUAUGGUAUCUUUCUGACAUGGUGUUGUGUCAGUUAACAUGCUGUUGGUUUCAGUUAACAUGCUGUUAUGUAAAUUAACAUGCUGUUGUGUCAGUUGACUUGCAGUUGUGUCAGUUGACAAGCAGUUGGUGUCAGUUGAC
rnacentral:lncRNA from 1 species